AAAGAAAAUUCGAUUCCCUUAGUAGCGGCGAGCGAAACGGGAAGAGCCCAAACCAACAAGCUUGCUUGUUGGGGUUGUAGGACACUCUAUACGGAGUUACAAAGGACGACAUUAGACGAAUCAUCUGGAAAGAUGAAUCAAAGAAGGUAAUAAUCCUGUAGUCGAAAAUGUUGUCUCUCUUGAGUGGAUCCUGAGUACGACGGAACACGUGAAAUUCCGUCGGAAUCUGGGAGGACCAUCUCCUAAGGCUAAAUACUCUCUAGUGACCGAUAGUGAACCAGUACCGUGAGGGAAAGGUGAAAAGCACCCCGGAAGGGGAGUGAAAUAGAACCUGAAACCGUGUGCUUACAAGUAGUCAGAGCCCGUUAAUGGGUGAUGGCGUGCCUUUUGUAGAAUGAACCGGCGAGUUACGAUUUGAUGCAAGGUUAAGCAGUAAAUGUGGAGCCGUAGCGAAAGCGAGUCUGAAUAGGGCGUUUAGUAUUUGGUCGUAGACCCGAAACCAGGUGAUCUACCCUUGGUCAGGUUGAAGUUCAGGUAACACUGAAUGGAGGACCGAACCGACUUACGUUGAAAAGUGAGCGGAUGAACUGAGGGUAGCGGAGAAAUUCCAAUCGAACCUGGAGAUAGCUGGUUCUCUCCGAAAUAGCUUUAGGGCUAGCCUCAAGUGAUGAUUAUUGGAGGUAGAGCACUGUUUGGACGAGGGGCCCCUCUCGGGUUACCGAAUUCAGACAAACUCCGAAUGCCAAUUAAUUUAACUUGGGAGUCAGAACAUGGGUGAUAAGGUCCGUGUUCGAAAGGGAAACAGCCCAGACCACCAGCUAAGGUCCCAAAAUAUAUGUUAAGUGGAAAAGGAUGUGGCGUUGCCCAGACAACUAGGAUGUUGGCUUAGAAGCAGCCAUCAUUUAAAGAGUGCGUAAUAGCUCACUAGUCGAGUGACACUGCGCCGAAAAUGUACCGGGGCUAAACAUAUUACCGAAGCUGUGGAUUGUCCUUUGGACAAUGGUAGGAGAGCGUUCUAAGGGCGUUGAAGCAUGAUCGUAAGGACAUGUGGAGCGCUUAGAAGUGAGAAUGCCGGUGUGAGUAGCGAAAGACGGGUGAGAAUCCCGUCCACCGAUUGACUAAGGUUUCCAGAGGAAGGCUCGUCCGCUCUGGGUUAGUCGGGUCCUAAGCUGAGGCCGACAGGCGUAGGCGAUGGAUAACAGGUUGAUAUUCCUGUACCACCUAUAAUCGUUUUAAUCGAUGGGGGGACGCAGUAGGAUAGGCGAAGCGUGCGAUUGGAUUGCACGUCUAAGCAGUAAGGCUGAGUAUUAGGCAAAUCCGGUACUCGUUAAGGCUGAGCUGUGAUGGGGAGAAGACAUUGUGUCUUCGAGUCGUUGAUUUCACACUGCCGAGAAAAGCCUCUAGAUAGAAAAUAGGUGCCCGUACCGCAAACCGACACAGGUAGUCAAGAUGAGAAUUCUAAGGUGAGCGAGCGAACUCUCGUUAAGGAACUCGGCAAAAUGACCCCGUAACUUCGGGAGAAGGGGUGCUCUUUAGGGUUAACGCCCAGAAGAGCCGCAGUGAAUAGGCCCAAGCGACUGUUUAUCAAAAACACAGGUCUCUGCUAAACCGUAAGGUGAUGUAUAGGGGCUGACGCCUGCCCGGUGCUGGAAGGUUAAGAGGAGUGGUUAGCUUCUGCGAAGCUACGAAUCGAAGCCCCAGUAAACGGCGGCCGUAACUAUAACGGUCCUAAGGUAGCGAAAUUCCUUGUCGGGUAAGUUCCGACCCGCACGAAAGGCGUAACGAUUUGGGCACUGUCUCAACGAGAGACUCGGUGAAAUCAUAGUACCUGUGAAGAUGCAGGUUACCCGCGACAGGACGGAAAGACCCCGUGGAGCUUUACUGUAGCCUGAUAUUGAAAUUCGGCACAGCUUGUACAGGAUAGGUAGGAGCCUUUGAAACGUGAGCGCUAGCUUACGUGGAGGCGCUGGUGGGAUACUACCCUAGCUGUGUUGGCUUUCUAACCCGCACCACUUAUCGUGGUGGGAGACAGUGUCAGGCGGGCAGUUUGACUGGGGCGGUCGCCUCCUAAAAGGUAACGGAGGCGCUCAAAGGUUCCCUCAGAAUGGUUGGAAAUCAUUCAUAGAGUGUAAAGGCAUAAGGGAGCUUGACUGCGAGACCUACAAGUCGAGCAGGGUCGAAAGACGGACUUAGUGAUCCGGUGGUUCCGCAUGGAAGGGCCAUCGCUCAACGGAUAAAAGCUACCCCGGGGAUAACAGGCUUAUCUCCCCCAAGAGUUCACAUCGACGGGGAGGUUUGGCACCUCGAUGUCGGCUCAUCGCAUCCUGGGGCUGUAGUCGGUCCCAAGGGUUGGGCUGUUCGCCCAUUAAAGCGGUACGCGAGCUGGGUUCAGAACGUCGUGAGACAGUUCGGUCCCUAUCCGUCGUGGGCGUAGGAAAUUUGAGAGGAGCUGUCCUUAGUACGAGAGGACCGGGAUGGACAUACCUCUGGUGUACCAGUUGUCGUGCCAACGGCAUAGCUGGGUAGCUAUGUGUGGACGGGAUAAGUGCUGAAAGCAUCUAAGCAUGAAGCCCCCCUCAAGAUGAGAUUUCCCAACUUCGGUUAUAAGAUCCCUCAAAGAUGAUGAGGUUAAUAGGUUCGAGGUGGAAGCAUGGUGACAUGUGGAGCUGACGAAUACUAAUCGAUCGAAGACUUAAUCAA
rnacentral:rRNA from 1 species